AUUGAACGCUGGCGGCAGGCCUAACACAUGCAAGUCGAGCGAGCGGCGGACGGGUGAGUAAUGUCUGGGGACUGCCCGAUAGAGGGGGAUAACUACUGGAAACGGUAGCUAAUACCGCAUACUAUCGGAUAACCCAUAUGGGAUUAGCUAGUAGGUGAGGUAAUGGCUCACCUAGGCGACGAUGCCUAGCUGGUCUGAGAGGAUGAUCAGCCACACUGGGACUGAGACACGGCCCAGACUCCUACGGAGGCAGCAGUGGGGAAUAUUGGACAAUGGGCGCAAGCCUGAUGCAGCCAUGCCGCGUGUAUGAAGAAGGCUUUAGGGUUGUAAAGCACUUUCAGUAGGGAGGCGUUACCGACAGAAGAAGCACCGGCUAACUCCGUGCCAGCAGCCGCGGUAAUAC
rnacentral:rRNA from 1 species